GCGCACCAGGCGAGAAACCUCCGCAAUACACGAAAGUGUGACGGGGCCAUCCCGAGUGCCGUCCGCUGAGGACGGCUUUUCCCCAGUGUACACAGCUGGGGGAAUAAGGAGAGGGCAAGCCUGGUGUCAGCCGCCGCGGUAAUACCAGCUCUCCGAGUGGUGGGGACGCUUAUUGGGCCUAAAGCAUCCGUAGCCGGCUGGGCAAGUCCUCCGUUAAAUCCAACGAUUCAAUCGUUGGGCUGCGGGGGAUACUGUCCAGCUUGGGGGCGGGGAGAGGCCGACGGCAUUCCCGGGGUAGGGGUGAAAUCCUAUAAUCCCGGGAGGACCACCAGUGGCGAAGGCUGUCGGCUAGAACGCGCCCGACGGUGAGGGAUGAAAGCUGGGGGAGCGAACCGGAUUAGAUACCCGCGUAGU
rnacentral:rRNA from 1 species